rnacentral:SRP_RNA from 1 species
GGAUAUAGUAUUUAAUAUAACUUGUUAAACGACUUAAUAUGUCAGAAUUGAAAAAUAGCAGCAUGAAGUUCGAAAUUCAAUGUUAGUAUUAAAACUAUAUCU